ACCUGGCUGGCUCAGUUGGUGGAGCUUGAGACUCUUGAUCUCGGAGUUGUGAGUUUGAGCCCAACGUUGGGUG
rfam:Ailuropoda melanoleuca scaffold1995_51, whole genome shotgun sequence.